rnacentral:lncRNA from 1 species
UCUCAUCUGAUUGUAGAGUUUGUAGAUGUGGCAGAAACAAUGUCCACAGUGAUUUUCAAGGAGGUUUAUGAGUCCAGAGGCAAAGUUACUACAAAAUCAGAUAAAGACUUCAACAGCUGGGAGAAGAGGCAGCACAUUUCUGAACUGAAUACUUCAGAUGAAACUGGUAUAGUUUAAGCAGUUCAUCCUACUUCCUUAUGCUUAACUGCAAAAA